rnacentral:rRNA from 1 species
UACGUAGGGUGCGAGCGUUGUCCGGAAUUAUUGGGCGUAAAGGGCUCGUAGGCGGUCUGUUGCGUCAGGAGUGAAAACUCGGGGCUUAACCCCGAGCCUGCUUCUGAUACGGGCAGACUAGAGGUAUGCAGGGGAGAACGGAACUCCUGGUGUAGCGGUGAAAUGCGCAGAUAUCAGGAGGAACACCGGUGGCGAAGGCGGUUCUCUGGGCAUUACCUGACGCUGAGAAGCGAAAGCAUGGGGAGCGAACAGG